AUUGAACGCUGGCGGCAUGCCUUACACAUGCAAGUCGAACGGCAGCACGGGUGCUUGCACCUGGUGGCGAGUGGCGAACGGGUGAGUAAUAUAUCGGAACGUGCCCUAGAGUGGGGGAUAACGUAGCGAAAGUUACGCUAAUACCGCAUACGAUCUACGGAUGAAAGCGGGGGAUCGCAAGACCUCGCGCGAUUGGAGCGGCCGAUAUCAGAUUAGGUAGUUGGUGAGGUAAAAGCCUACCAAGCCGACGAUCUGUAGCUGGUCUGAGAGGACGACCAGCCACACUGGGACUGAGACACGGCCCAGACUCCUACGGGAGGCAGCAGUGGGGAAUUUUGGACAAUGGGCGCAAGCCUGAUCCAGCAAUGCCGCGUGAGUGAUGAAGGCCUUAGGGUUGUAAAGCUCUUUUACCAGGGAUGAUAAUGACAGUACCUGGAGAAUAAGCUCCGGCUAACUCCGUG
rnacentral:rRNA from 1 species